CAUUUCAAUCAAAUCAACAUUCAAGCUUCAAUCAAGAUUCAGAACAGGAAGCAUGUGAAUGUAGAAAUCUCUCAAGACCUUUAUCAUAACGAAUCACCAACUAUUGCAAUUUUUUUCAGGAAAUAUGAAAAGUGAAGUGAAUCUAUAAUUUUUCUUGACCAAAACCUGAGCUCUUGGAAUGAGUCUCUGCUACAAGCUAAGUCCAACAAGAUACGGAUAUUGGGCAAUAAUGGAAGACUACCAGCCCCAUGUGUAAACAAAAAAGUUCAUUCCUGCUAUAAUCUUCUUCUUAGAGUUGACCAUAAGCGAUGGAAGCUUUCUAAAUGCUGCAAAAACCUCUGGCAUCAGACAAAUCUCACUUCCUAUAUUUACUAAGGUUAGGUUAUUUUCCCAUUUGGAUCUGCUGAUGGACUUCAGGACCUUGAUCGCUAUAAUGAGACAUGCCACUUCCUAUGCAUAUUAAAAGGUUGUUUUCCCAUUUG
rnacentral:lncRNA from 1 species